GAGUAUAACUUCGAUGAGACCGAAGCUAAUACCGUGAUAGGAUCUUCUCCUUCAUGGGAGAUGAUUGAAAGAUGGUUUCGGCUAUCACUUACAGAUGGGCCCGCGGUGCAUUAGCUAGUUGGUGAGGUAACGGCUCACCGAGGCAACGAUGCAUAGCCGACCUGUAGAGGGUGAUCGGCCACACUGGGACUGAGACACGGCCCAGACUCCUACGGGAGGCAGCAGUAGGGAAUCUUCCGCAAUGGACGAAAGUCUGACGGAGCAACGCCGCGUGAGUGAUGAAGGCUUUCGGGUCGUAAGAACUCUGUUGUUAGGGAAGAACAAGUACAAGAGUAACUGCUCGUACCUUGACGGUACCUAACCAGAAAGCCACGGCUAACUACGUGCCAGCAGCCGCGGUAAUACGUAGGUGGCAAGCGUUAUCCGGAAUUAUUGGGCGUAAAGCGCGCGCAGGCGGUUUCUUAAGUCUGAUGUGAAAGCCCACGGCUCAACCGUGGAG
rnacentral:rRNA from 2 species